rnacentral:rRNA from 1 species
UACAGAGGGUGCGAGCGUUGUCCGGAAUCACUGGGCGUAAAGGGCGCGUAGGCGGCCUGGUAAGUAGGGGGUGAAAUUCUGCGGCUUAACCGCAGAGCUGCCUUCUAAACUGUCAGGCUUGAGCACGGUAGAGGCUGGUGGAAUUCCCGGUGUAGCGGUGGAAUGCGUAGAUAUCGGGAGGAACACCUGAGGCGAAGGCGGGCUACUGGGCCGAUACUGACGCUGAGGCGCGAAAGCGUGGGGAGCGAACAGG